CAGCCGUAAACUAUGCGCGUUAGGUGUACUGGUGACCACGAGUCACCGGGUGCCGAAGGGAAACCGUGAAACGUGCCGCCUGGGAAGUACGGUCGCAAGGCUGAAACUUAAAGGAAUUGGCGGGGGAGCACCACAACGGGUGGGAGCCUGCGGUUUAAUUGGACUCAACGCCGGAAAUCUCACCGGAUAGGACAGACAUAUGAUAGUCGGGCUGAAGACUCUACUUGAUGAUCUGAGAGGUGGUGCAUGGCGUCAGUGACU
rnacentral:rRNA from 1 species